rfam:Triticum aestivum genome assembly, contig: Triticum_aestivum_CS42_TGACv1_scaffold_623445_7DS
AUGGUACUCCCUCCGUCCGGAAAUACUUGUCGGAGGAAUGGAUGCAUCUAGACAUAUCUUAGUCCUAGAUACAUUCAUUUUUAUCAAUUUCUUCGACAAAUAUUUUCGGACGGAGGGAGUACAUG